rnacentral:rRNA from 1 species
AACGAACGCUGGCGGCAGGCUUAACACAUGCAAGUCGAACGCCCCGCAAGGGGAGUGGCAGACGGGUGAGUAACGCGUGGGAAUCUACCUAGUUCUACGGAACAACAGUUGGAAACGACUGCUAAUACCGUAUACGCCCUACGGGGGAAAGAUUUAUCGGAAUUAGAUGAGCCCGCGUAAGAUUAGCUAGUUGGUGGGGUAAUGGCCUACCAGGGCGACGAUCUUUAGCUGGUCUGAGAGGAUGAUCAGCCACACUGGGACUGAGACACGGCCCAGACUCCUACGGGAGGCAGCAGUGGGGAAUAUUGGACAAUGGGCGCAAGCCUGAUCCAGCCAUGCCGCGUGAGUGAUGAAGGCCUUAGGGUUGUAAAGCUCUUUCACCGAUGAAGAUAAUGACGGUAGUCGGAGAAGAAGCCCCGGCUAACUUCGUGCCAGCCGCCGCCGUAACAC